rnacentral:rRNA from 1 species
UACGUAGGCAGCGAGCGUUGUUCGGAAUUACUGGGCGUAAAGAGUGUGUAGGCGGUGCUCUAAGUUCGGUGUGAAAUCUCCUGGCUCAACCCGGGAGGGUCGUGGCAAACCGGCGGCUUGAGGCCGGUAGAGGUGGGUGGAACUCCUGGUGGAGUGGUGAAAUGCGUAGAGAUCAGGAAGAACACCCGUGGCGAAGGCGGCCCACUGGGCCGGUACUGACGCUGAGGCGCGAAGGCGUGGGGAGCGAACGGG